ensembl:snoRNA
CCCGAGGGCGAUGAAAAAGCAUCCCUAGGUGGUUGUGGCCAUCUUGGUCAGCUAUGUGCCACUUGCCAGUGCAAGGACUUAUCAUAGUUACACUGACUGUGC